UUUCCCUCUAGUGGUGGGGGGGCUGUGCUUUGGCAAAGUGGGUGGGGUUAUAUCCUGCUAUUUGGCCCUGUCCGUAGUAAUCUGUCGGACAGGGCCACAGUGUCUCCCGACUAGAGGUCAACCGAUUAAUCGUAAUGGUAGAUUAAUUAGGGCAGAUUUCAAGUUUUCAUAACAAUCGGUAACAAUCAGUAAUGGACACCGAUCAUGGCCUAUUACAUUGCACUCCAUGAGGAGACUGCGUGGCAGACUGACUACCUGUUAUGCGAGUGCAGCAAGGAGCCGAGGUAAGGACCUGAGCCCUAAGGACCAUGCCUCAGGACUACCUGGCCUGAUGACUCCUUGCUGUCCCCAGUCCACCUGGUCAUGCUGCUGCUCCAUUUUCAACUGUUCUGCCUACAGCUAUUGAAUCCUGACCCGUUCACUGGGCAUGCUACCUUGUCCCGGACCUGCUGUUUUGGACUCUCUCUCUACCGCACCUGCUGUUUCUAAAUCUGAAUGAUCGGCUAUGAAAACCCAACUGACAUUUACUCCUGAGGUGCUGACCUGUUGCACCCUCUACAACGAUUGUGAUUAUAAUUAUCUGACUCUGCUGGUCAUCUAUGAACGUUUGAACAUCUUGGCCAUGUUCUGUUAUAAUCUCCACCUGGCACAGCCAGAAGAGGACUGGCCACCGCUCAGAGCCUGGUUCCUCUCUAGGUUUCUUCCUAGGUUCUGGCCAUUCUAUGGAGUUUUUCCUAGCCACUGUGCUUCUACAUCUGCAUUGCUUGCUGUUUGGGGUUUUAGGCUGGGUUUCUGUACAGCACUGUGUGACAUUGGCUGAUGUAAAAAGGGCUUUAUAAAUAAAUUUGAUUGAUUUAUGGGUGGUCCUGGGAGUGCAUAGGACCGCCCACUCGAAAGCCACGCCUACCCACUGUGUGGCCAGGCCCAGCCAAUCAGAAUGAGUUUUUCCCUACAAAAGGACUUUAUUACAGACAGAAAUGUUGUUCCAAGCACAAGGUGUAUCUGUGUAAUGACCAUGCUGUUUAAUUAUCUUAUUGAUAUGCCACACCUGUCAGGUGUAUGGGUUAUCUUGACAAAGGAUAAAAUGCUCACUAACAGGGAUGUAAACAAAUUUCUGCCAAAAUAUUGAGAGAAAUAAGCUUCUUGUGUCAAUGGAACAUUUCCGGGAUCUUUUAUUUCAGCUCAUGAAACCAACACUUUACAUGUUGCGUUUAUGACUUCAAAAACGAGACGGUUAAUUUUCUAUAUUUGAAGAUGAGCUCUUUGGACAUAAAGACAACUGAGCUGCUUCUUCUCUUUCCACAUCAGACACUCAGCAUAACAUUCAUAAAUUAAGAAAAUGAACUGCCAUUGCCUGAGGUGACUUUGCCAGCUAUUUAAAUCUACAAAUUCACAACAUCUUCCCCAUACUUAAUCUAAUUGAACUAACUGCAGGGUUGCUUUAAUAAGAAAAAAAUAUAGUAAUUUGUCCCAAAUGGCACCCUAUUCCUAUAGUGCACCACUUUUG
ensembl:lncRNA